UUUAAAAUAUAUUCAAAUAGAAAACAGUUUUUGAAAUAAGUUGUAAAAAUACUUAAUUUCUAUCUGUGAUAUUUUUACCUUUAUGACCAAAAGAGACUUCUUUAAAAAAAAAUGUAUUCCAAACGUUUGGUCGGUAGUGUAGUGCAGUGCCUCUCUCUCACACACAGAGCCACGGUCAUUUGCUUAGUGGCUUGUAUAUGUGUCAUAUUUAACAUGGGCUUCUGGUGUCAUUAAAAAGCCACAAUGGGUCGCAGAAGUCUGGGUACUAAUGAGACCAGGUGCUGCACACCUGACCCCAAACUGUCUCAGCAGUGAACAAUGAGUGUGUGUGUGUGUGAGAGAGAAAGUACAGAAAAUGAUAAAGAGGAGGAUGACUAUGGCUAUGUUACUAUAUACUUUUUCUGUUUCUGCAGUAUACACUAUGCAUAUAAUACCAGGAUGACCUACUACUACAUCACACUGCACUGAGCACAGUAUCCCAAAGUGCAACAUGCUUGACUUGACCUUCCACUUCCAGAGUGAAGAAUUAAUGCUAAGUAAAUCUCCACCAAUCAGUGAACUGCAACAAGCUAAUUGUGAGAAAAAUAACACAAUGCCCAUCUACUCCCAUGAAAAGACUUUAAACAUGUGCUAGCGGUUCUGGCCAUGGGCCUGUUUCAUCUUAAAGAUGGAUCACGGGGAAAACGCUGUGCACAGGGCUUCUAAAAUCACCAUGGGAAUCCAGGCUCUGGAAUUGAGACAGCAGAUUCUGGCACUGGCCCAGCAGACUCUUCUUCAUGCUUCCCAGAAAUCCUCUCUUUCCUCCCAGAAAUCUCCUCACCCUUCCCAGAAUCCUCUACUGGGGGUGGUGUAGGGAAUGCUUGGGUGCAAUCAUUCAGAUAAUCAAAAAAUUGGUAUGUACGCACAAACACAUGCUUUACAAACAUCUAUUGAACACCAAGUAGACUAGCCAGAAAUAACAACCUGUACAUUCAUCAUAGGAUUUUCACACUAUACUGAAUCACAAUGAUCUUAAUCUAUAGCAACCAUAGACCACAAAAACUCCUCUGUGUUCACUACUACACUUUUCAUUAUUAACCACAGGUUAGAAAAAAGUCACCAAAACCACAUCUACCACAAUACUAGAAGUCUGCCAAACUCUUGAUGGCCUAACAAUACCUUUGACGGGCUGUUUCUUAAUUUCUCCGUGGUGUGUCCUCUCUUUUUCAACAGGAAACAUGUUUUGUCCUGGGUGCCUGGGU